GAACUUCUGAGGAGUCGCAUAAUAGAACGAAACGGCCGUCCAGUGC
rfam:Schistosoma rodhaini strain Burundi genome assembly, scaffold: SROB_scaffold0009300